CCUACGGGAGGCAGCAGUGGGGAAUAUUGGGCAAUGGGCGCAAGCCUGACCCAGCAACGCCGCGUGAAGGAAGAAGGCCCUCGGGUUGUAAACUUCUUUUAUCAGGGACGAAGCAAGUGACGGUACCUGAUGAAUAAGCCACCGCUAACUACUUGCCAGCAGCCGCGGUAAUACGUAGGUGGCAAGCGUUAUCCGGAUUUACUGGGUGUAAAGGGCGUGUAGGCGGGAAAGCAAGUCAGAUGUGAAAACCAUGGGCUCAACCUGUGGCCUGCAUUUGAAACUGUUUUUCUUGAGUACUGGAGAGGCAGACGGAAUUCCUGGUGUAGCGGUGAAAUGCGCAGAGAUAAGGAGGAACACCAGUGGCGAAGGCGGUCUGCUGGACAGCAACUGACGCUGAGGCGCGAAAGCGUGGGGAGCAAACAGGAUUAGAUACCCGGGUAGUC
rnacentral:rRNA from 1 species